GAUGAACGCUGGCGGCGUGCCUAAUACAUGCAAGUCGAGCGAACAGACGAGGAGCUUGCUCCUCUGACGUUAGCGGCGGACGGGUGAGUAACACGUGGAUAACCUACCUAUAAGACUGGGAUAACUUCGGGAAACCGGAGCUAAUACCGGAUAAUAUAUUGAACCGCAUGGUUCAAUAGUGAAAGACGGUUUUGCUGUCACUUAUAGAUGGAUCCGCGCCGCAUUAGCUAGUUGGUAAGGUAACGGCUUACCAAGGCAACGAUGCGUAGCCGACCGGAGAGGGUGAUCGGCCACACUGGAACUGAGACACGGUCCAGACUCCUACGGGAGGCGGCAGUAGGGAAUCUUCCGCAAUGGGCGAAAGCCUGACGGAGCAACGCCGCGUGAGUGAUGAAGGUCUUCGGAUCGUAAAACUCUGUUAUUAGGGAAGAACAAAUGUGUAAGUAACUAUGCACGUCUUGACGGUACCUAAUCAGAAAGCCACGGCUAACUACGUG
rnacentral:rRNA from 1 species